rnacentral:rRNA from 1 species
ACGUACGCUGGCGGCACGCCUAACACAUGCAAGUCGAACGAAGUAGCAAUACUUAGUGGCAGACGGGUGAGUAACAUGUGGGUAUCUGCCCUUUGGCCUGGAAUAACACGAGGAAACUUGUGCUAAUACCGGAUAAGUCUUUACGGAGAAAGCUUUAUGCACCAUUGGAUGAGCCUGCACUUGAUUAGUUUGUUGGUGGGGUAAUGGCCUACCAAGACUGUGAUCAAUAGCUGAUUUGAGAGGAUGAUCAGCCACAUUGGGACUGAGACACGGCCCAAACUCCUACGGGAGGCAGCAGUGGGGAAUCUUGCACAAUGGAGGAAACUCUGAUGCAGCGAUGCCGCGUGAGUGAAGAAGGCCUUUGGGUUGUAAAGCUCUUUCGUCGGGGAAGAAAAUGACUGUACCCGAAUAAGAAGGUCCGGCUAACUUCGUGCCAGCAGCCGCGGUAAUACGAAGGGACCUAGCGUAGUUCGGAAUUACUGGGCUUAAAGAGUUCGUAGGUGGUUGAAAAAGUUAGUGGUGAAAUCCCAGAGCUUAACUCUGGAACUGCCAUUAAAACUUUUCAGCUAGAGUAUGAUAGAGGAAAGCAGAAUUUCUAGUGUAGAGGUGAAAUUCGUAGAUAUUAGAAAGAAUACCAAUUGCGAAGGCAGCUUUCUGGAUCAUUACUGACACUGAGGAACGAAAGCAUGGGUAGCGAAGAGGAUUAGAUACCCUCGUAGUCCAUGCCGUAAACGAUGUGUGUUAGACGUUGGAAAUUUAUUUUCAGUGUCGCAGGGAAACCGAUAAACACACCGCCUGGGGAGUACGACCGCAAGGUUAAAACUCAAAUGAAUUGACGGGGACCCGCACAAGUAGUGGAGCAUGUGGUUUAAUUCGAAGAUACGCGCAGAACCUUACCAACACUUGACAUGUUCGUCGCGACUCUAAGAGAUUAGAGUUUUCGGUUCGGCCGGACGAAACACAGGUGCUGCAUGGCUGUCGUCAGCUCGUGUCGUGAGAUGUUGGGUUAAGUCCCGCAACGAGCGCAACCCUCACUUUUAGUUGCCAUCAUUAAGUUGGGCACUCUGAAAGAACUGCCAGUGAUAAGCUGGAGGAAGGUGGGGAUGACGUCAAGUCCUCAUGGCCCUUACGUGUUGGGCUACACACGUGCUACAAUGGUAUCUACAACAGGAAGCAAAACUGCGAAGUUAAGCAAAUCCCUAAAAGAUACCUCAGUUCGGAUUGCACUCUGCAACUCGAGUGCAUGAAGCUGGAAUUACUAGUAAUCGUGGAUCAGCGUGCCACGGUGAAUGCGUUCCCGGGUCUUGUACACACCGCCCGUCAAGG